rnacentral:rRNA from 1 species
UACGUAGGGUGCAAGCGUUAAUCGGAAUUACUGGGCGUAAAGCGUGCGCAGGCGGUUUUGUAAGUCAGAUGUGAAAUCCCCGGGCUUAACCUGGGAAUGGCAUUUGUGACUGUCCGGCUAGAGUGUGUCAGAGGGGGGUAGAAUUCCACGUGUAGCAGUGAAAUGACGUAGAGAUGUGGAGGAAUACCGAUGGCGAAGGCAGCCCCCUGGGAUCAACACUA